CAUGUAUUUUUUCGUCUGCUACGAGUGACUUGUGUAGUUCUGCGAAAUAUAAAUUUUUUUAAAAAACAGUGAUAGAAAAGGGGGUUGUUUUGAAGUUCUGAUGUGUUUUCUUUAUAUAUUAGUUCGUUAUAGUGUUAGUGUUUAACUAUGUCACUGUCUAAUUAUGCCAGUGAACUUAGUAUUGAGGCCAAAACACGUUAUUUGGAAAAGUUACAAAUGUUUAACAGUGAUUGUCCAUAUUGUAUUCCUAAUUCUCUGUGGAAACAUGGUUUAGACUGUUGUCCAAUUGUUCCAAAAAUUGCUCCCUCAGAUAUCUUCAUAUAUCUUGUUGAAACAAAAAGCUAUCAAAAUCAUAUUCCAUCUAUGAUGUAAUUCUUAUUUCUUUUGCAGGUUCUCAGUGACUACGACUCGAGAGUCCUUUGUGUCUGUUACCCUCAGAUUCUGCCUCCUGAAAUUUACAACAUUUUAUGGGAUCAAAUUCUUCGUGCCUGUUACCAUACUCUACUUGACGGAUUUUCCGCUGUAAGAAAAUGCACGAACGAAGAUCGUGCACUAAUGCAGUUAGACUUCAGGCAUUUUCAAGUCAAAGUGGAAAGCUUGACAUGUCUAAGACCUCUUCCUGACCCACAUAUUGUCGAAACAUACAUAAAGGCAUAUUAUUUACCUGAAAAUUCUUUCGAAAAAUGGAUUCAAGAACAAACGGAAUAUAAUCCUAGGCAGAUGAUGAAUCUUCUUCAAUACGUAAGUCAAGGCAGUAAAAAGAUUCGGCUGAACUUAACUUCCUUCAUGGAAGAUUUAGAUUUGAAUCGUCGAUAAAGAUCUUUGUUAUGAUUCAAGUGAUGAAAUUUUUGUAAAUUGAGAAAUAUACAUGACAUUCCAUUA